rnacentral:rRNA from 1 species
GGGUCAGUAGGUUGGUCGUGCCACCGGUACGUACUGGUCUCACUGAUUCCUCCUUCCUGAAUAACCGUAAUGCCAUUAAUUUGGUGUUGCGGGGAAACAGGACUGUUACUUUGAAAAAAUUAGAGUGUUUAAAGCAAGCUAACGCUUGGAUACAUUAGCAUGGAAUAAUGAAAUAGGACGAUCGAUCCUAUUUUGUUGGUUUCUAGGAUUGACGUA